rnacentral:rRNA from 1 species
UGGGGAAUUCUGCACAAUGGGGGAAACCCUGAUGCAGCGACGCCGCGUGAUUUAGAAGGCCUUCGGGUUGUAAAAAUCUUUUCUAUGGGAAGAAAAUGACAGUACCAUAGGAAUAAGGACCGGCUAAUUACGUGCCAGCAGCCGCGGUAAUACGUAAGGUCCGAGCGUUGUCCGGAAUCAUUGGGCGUAAAGGGUACGUAGGCGGGUAAGCAAGUUAGAAGUGAAAUCCUAUAGCUCAACUAUAGUAAGCUUUUAAAACUGCUCAUCUUGAGGUAUGGAAGGGAAAGUGGAAUUCCUAGUGUAGCGGUGAAAUGCGCAGAUAUUAGGAGGAAUACCGGUGGCGAAGGCGACUUUCUGGCCAUAACCUGACGCUGAGGUACGAAAGCGUGGGUAGCAAACAGG